GAACUGCCAUCUUCUGGAGUGGCAAGACAACUGCAUUACCUUCACUGGUAGAAAUCAAUGUUUCAGCUGCUUUAGUGAUGGAGGGUUGCUAUUAGCUACCCCAUUGGUCAAAGGCACAUGACCAUUGUCACCACUGAGGGAGAUAGAUCAGACAAUGUCCUCUCGCUUUCUCCUCUUUUGCAACCUUCGGUCCUGCCCCAUUUCUCUGUUCUUGGAGAUGUGAGGUAAUUCUUUGCUUGCUUACCUUUUCAAUCACCUUGAACAACUCUCAACUUCUUUCUGGCCCUUGCUUCUUGCUUUGACUAACUCUCUGCUCCUUCUCAGAUUUCUUUAAAACUCUUUAAUGAUCUUCUGUGCCUUUGUGGGUGAGAGAAUAAUGGUACAUGAAAUCAUUAAAGAUUUUUAAGAGUAUUUCAGGUGACUGGGUAUAUGGAAUGUGUAAACUACAGGCAAAAGAAUUAUGUAGUUCUUCCCAUUGCACUGUAAAAUCACUUUUUAAAUUCAUGGAUUUAUUUGCAAUGAUAAGAAAUUAUAUUCUGAAUGUAGUCAGCUCUUUGUAGGGAAGAAUGGGAAGAUGACAGACAAACUGGAAGAUCACUUGGAAGCUGGUUAACAUUGAGCCAGCCUCUAAAUAACUCUCAGCUUCAAUUUCCCCAACUGUAAAAACGGGGAUGCUUACUUCUACCUGCCUCAGAGUUCAGAAUUGAACGUUUUUGUAGCUUCAAGAAGAGUGGACUAACUGGAGUAGAGUUUAUAUAUAAUAAAAUGUAAAGCAGUCAUGUAAUUAUAUGACUUGCCAGAGGGUAAAUAAAGGAUUAUAUUCCCCUUUGGUGUUACAUGAUAAAGAGAGAAAGCACUCUUAAAGUAGUGUUUAAGUUGAGACCAAUUGCUGUGACUGUAAUUUAUGUGGAACCAGCCUGUCUAUUAGUGCCAAGCCUAAUGCAGACAGUCUCCAAGAAUGUUGAGAAAAAGGAAAUAUGAUACCAUUAAAUAUUCUGAAAUAAAUUAUGUUCAAAAUGAUCAUAGGGAACAAAUAAGGCAAAAGGAAGACUCUGUGUCUUCCUGGUCUUCUUAAGAAAAAAAGAUAAACAUAUUGCAAUUAAAUAAAUAUUCAUAUUUUGGAAAAUGAAGAAAAUUGUCUAUAAUGUAUGCCUUUUUAAGGGUAAAUUGAAAUUUUUUAUCUUUGGACAUGAGAGCUAAUGAUCAUAUUAGUUCUAAUAUAAUGUAUUAGUAGUAAAGUCAUGAUUAGUUUCACAUAUUACCUCUUAAAUCAUUUACUUUUAAAAUACUUUAUCUGAUUUUUCAGUCACUUUUUCUUUUCAAAUACAUUCUCCUGCUUAUAGUCUUCUUAAAAUAACUACUGCCUACAUACAGAAGAGAUGAUCCAAUAAUUGUAUCACAUAAUUUAUUGUUAAUUCAAUUUUGAGGUUGCCCCUGAACUCAUUGUUUAAGUGUGACUGGGUUUUGGGGAAGUUUGUGAUUUUUAUUGGGUUUCGCAGGAGCCCUCCUAGAAACUAUCUCCUAGAUAGAAUUUUCUCAUUGAACCAUCUUCAGAGAUAGAAUUUUUUUCUUCCCAUCCUUGGUAAGGUCAUGGCAGUAGGAUUGGGAAAGAAUUAUACACUUAUUUAUAUUUGGGACAUCUUUGUUGUCCUUUUAGUAUCAGCACACAGAAUUAAAAUACAGACAUUUAAUAGAUAUGAUUUGCAGAUUCCAG
rnacentral:lncRNA from 10 species